CACAUCAAGUUUAAUGAUGGUCAAGGAUUGACCGCCGAUCCGGAGGCCGGUAACAACAUCAAGGUGACCCGAGCGGACUUCAUCUACUCCCUGGAGAACGACGUGAAGCUUUCCCUUGGCACCAGCGAUGAGGUCCUCGACGGGUUCAUGGAACGCGGCAUCAUCAGCUGGGGCCACACCAGGGACCUGCUGGAGCGAGGCCGCUUGGUUGUUCAACAGGCCCGGUCCGCAGACAUGAACCAAACUGCUGGAGGGCGCCUGUGUCUGCUGCUGGAGGGCGCCCCUACGGCGGGCACCUCGGCCCUGGCCGCUUACCUCGCCAAGAACAGCGACUUCCCCUUCGUCAAAGUGAUCACAUCGAGCGAGAUGGU